AUUAGAUUACAUACUCCUCUCUCUUUAGUAAAUUCAAGAAAACUAAAGAGAGAAGAGAAUUAUAUUAAUAUAGUAAUAAAUAUUUAUGAUUUAAAGUUCUUUAUGUUAAUAAAUAGAUGAAUAUUUAUAGAAGAUAAAAUUAGUUUUUUGUUUAUCAAAAUUAGGUUUUAAUUUAGUUCUGGCGAAGCCUGUGCCAGCCGCCGCGGUUACACAGGCAGGGUAUUAAUAUUUUGAUUAGCUGAAAAAUGUUUAUUUAAAUAUUUUAAUAAUUAGGUGAAAUUAUUUAUUUAAAAAAUGUUAGGUUGUCUUAAAGAAAUUUUCAAAAUAAAUUAGGAUUAGAUACCCUAUUAUUUGAAAAGGAGAAAUUGGUAUUAGUUUUGAGUUAACAAAAUCUAAAGAUUUUGGCGGUAUUUUAAGCUUUUUAGAGGAAUUUAUUCUUUAAUUGAUAUAACUCGUGUAUCUGACUUAAUUUGGUAAAACAGUUUGUAUAUCGCUAUCAUUUUGAAUGAUAUUGAAUAAUUAAUUGUUAGCAGUAAUUUUUUUAAGAAUGUUAGGUCAAAAUGCAGCGUAAGAUUAAGGUUGAAAUAAAUUACGAUAAUUUUUAUUGGUUUUAGGUGAAAUUUAUUUAUAGGAUUUGAUAGUAAGUUAAAAUUAUAAUGUUUAGCUGAAAAAAGCUCUGGAAUAUGCACAUAUCGCCCGUCACUCUCAUUUUUGAGAUAAGUCGUAACAAAGUAAAAGUACCGGAAGGUGUUUUU
rnacentral:ncRNA from 1 species